rnacentral:lncRNA from 1 species
UUUACUGAUCAUGCCGACAUUAUUCAACUUAUAACUAAUUUUGGUUGGCAUAAAAAAAUGGCACAUAAUAUCAGUACACAAAAUCCGAACAAAGAAUCUGGGUUCGAUUAGUACAUACUCCGUAUAUGGAAAUUUCGUGUGUAACGAAAUUAGAAAAAUCCAAGAAAAACAUGCUCUGCGGUCGACCAAAUUCCCGGACACCGAUCGCCGGCAGCACCUUUCCCCCGGCUUGACUUUCGCGGCAACAACUUUCGGCAGAGCUUCGAAAAUAUCAAAUGAAUUUUGCGGCAACAACUUGCGGCAACAACAUUACCAAGAACACGUUUGAUGAGCAUAAAAACUGGGAAGAGCAGAUCAGAUGAAUACUAAUCUGAAUUCGAGUCCAUCAAUCACACGAACAAGCCUCACGAAGAACAUAUUACAAAAUCUCGAACAAAUAUCAAGAAGACGCAUCCGGCCGGGCUGACAAACACGAACACGAACAAAUAACAUCAGAAAUCGAGUCCAUCAAUCACACGUUUGGGUGGAACUUUAUCAAGAACACGAACAAAUCACACUCGACGUGGCUCACGCACUGCUCGGCAACAGCUGGGAGCUGGAGGAAGGCCCGAUGCUGAGGCGCCCGGCCGGUCACCGCCAGCCACCGUGCACAUAAUCCGCGGCCGCGACGCGGAGGAGCUGGCGACACGAGGAUCUCGAAGACGGCAGCCGGACGGAGGAGCGGCGAAGACGUCCUAGCCCCCGGCGCGGAUCUGGGCACGUCCGCCGCGCGCUGCAGAGAUUAGGUGAGGUGUCAAACGGUGGCGAGAUUCGGAGGGGGAGUGGCCGGGAUCUCGACGAGGAUCUUGAGGCGGAUCCACCACCAAGGACGCCGGAUUCGAUGUUCUUCUCGCAUCCUGCGCUCCUCUGGCUUCGACGAUGGCGACGGGGAUCGGUGCGGUGAACGUCGUGGAUGGGGAGGAGGGACGACGGGAUCGGGAUUUGUGAGAUAGAGAUAGGCAACGAAGAGGGGUGAAUGAUUGGGCGGAAGAAAAUUAAUUUUUUUUUCCAAACUUCAAACCCUAAAUCAUCUUUCUGUCCAUGAUAAUAAAAUAGCC